CAGAAUUCACAGUGGUUAGUAUAAAAACCUGGCAAAGACCCUUGUGCUGUGACAGAGCUCUGCAUCAUGUAGCACCAGGCACCCUGUUUGCUGGAGAGACCUGAGCUCCACUGUGCAAUGGAGACAACACUUCAGGCUCCAUUCUUGGAGCAGGAGGGCUGCUAGGAUAUAAAUUUUUUCUCUUUGCCUACAAAGCAGGCAGGAGGAAAUUGGUCUGAUCUAGCAGCAGGAGCUGGUACUUUCUUGAGCUGAACAGCUCAGUGUGUGUGGAAGGGGGUUAGACAGACCUGCUUCACUGACUGGUGGACUCCCAGGCUGAAGCUGUGAGAUAAGUGCAUGCUGCUCUUCUCUGGUGAAAUGAUUUGCUGACCUCAAAGUCUGGGAAGACUUCUAACAGUGCAUAGAUCAUCUUGAAGACCGAAAAUUUGAGAAAACUUACCCUCAUGUGAAAAAAAAAAAAGGGUCCAGAUCUUUAGCACACUUGGAAGAAAGAAGGGUUUAUUCAGAUGUUUGAACUGUCUGCUGCUGCUGCCUAGUGCUCAGAACAUCACAGUUGAUCCUCUGGCACUAGAAAAGCAUCAGCUAGGAGCCCAGUCACCACAGUUUACUACUGAGUGCCAGGACAUUAUAUUUGCUCUGGUGACUAUUCCUCCCAGUGCAGUCACAUGUCACUGCUACCCUGUCUGUCCAGGAAGCAGAAAAGUGAAACUCGUGCUUGGCACUUCCAUAGGGGUCUCUGAGCGCUAGGAGACAAAGAUGAAAACCAGCUGAUAGGACACAGGCAACCAUUACAGAGGAAAUAUUGGAUGUCAGAAGAGGGGCGGGAAGCAAUGCCAAGGUCCAGAACACCUUUGGAUGCUGCAACCACCUGAAACCUCCUGAAAUCGCUCACCACCGCUCAAACCACUUUUAAUAAACAGGUAACUAAAAUUCAAGCACUUCCUUUAUAAAGCCUUUUGGUUUCAGGAAAGUGAGUCACUGUCUGACAGUUUGGUGGGAGGUUAUUCAUCCGGGAUUGCUUCACUCCUUCGUGGAGAUGCUUGGUGAGCCGCUCUGCACGCUGGCGGGCUGCUUCAGCCAGGGAUGUACUCCUACAAGUGCCACCUGCUCUGUUAUAAUCCUUGCCUCGCUGAAGUCGCCAGCAUCUUUCUGCUUGAUCUGCAGGGUAGCUCCUUCGUGUUGAAUUUGGCUGCUCUUUUAGGAGAGUAACAGUUUGAGGAGCUGUUUGGCUCAGUAGCACUUGGCAACCUUGGGAAGCGAAUGCAUUCAGCUGGGCAGUGGGCACACGUACGUUUGAGGGGGGCUGCUGUGUGCCCCAUCCUGCAGCGUUAGUUCACAGCGUGCCUGUGCCUCGGAGGCACUCGCUGUGCAGCUGACACAGCCCUCAGGCGUCAGGCAGCUGGGGAAAUUGCCACAGAAGCUUUAGCAAGAAAACACAUAAUAGCCAAAGUCGAAGGGUGAAUUGAGAUAUAAUGGGGGAGGCAGCUAUUAUGUUCUAGCUCUCUUUAAAAACCAUUCUGAGACGUGUAAGGUAUUGUGUUGUGUUUGUUGCUGGAUUUAAGACUGCUGACUGCCAGGCGGUGAAGGUCACUUUGUGCUUCCUUCUUUAAGGCAAGUUGCUGCUGUUUAUAUUAACAAGGGAGCAGCAGUGCUGGCUAACUCCUGGCAUGUUAACCUGCCUCUCUCCCGGGGAGCAGGUCUCCACUGCGCUCCCUCAGGACCUGUAUAGUUGGAGAGCUGUAUAUCAUGUAGGUGUCAAGCCCAAUCAGAGCUUCCUUGUCAGGAUGUGUUAAGGCAGCUGCCUGCAAUUUGUGUUACGGUGUGCAUCUCUGCCAAUAAACUACUUUUGGUCUCCCUUGUGCUGCGUCUGCCGUCUGCAGGGCUGCUGGGAGAGCUGCCAGAGAGAGAGAGAGCAACUGCAGGCACAAAGGUGGCUGGGUGGCACCUCUUGUAAUCUGUGUUCUGCAUGAUGUAUUGAUUGACUUUGUGGAUGGAUCCCAGGGGCUGAACAUAAACAGCAUGUACCAGAGCAUGACAUUUUAAUCAGAGACAGGUUUAACUACUGGGAGCAGCUCGGGUAAUGUCUACUUUAAAAAAAAAUUAAAGAAAGAAAAUUGCACCAAAAAAACCCCAAAAACGGUGUAUGCUGGUUAUUGCUUAGGAACUCUGUGUAGUUGUGCAGUUACACAUGAGAUACAAAUGAGUAGGUUGUGACAGGACCAAGAGCACUUUGAAGUACAGCUGCAGUAAGUGUAAAUUGGGGAUACAAGUUAAGACACUGAAAUAAGCUUUUUGCAUGUGCAUGUGCAGACACCAGGGCUAAGCAGCAGAUCCUGGUCAGUGCAGCACCAUUCCUGCCAGCCAGCUGUAAAAUCACUUGGCUCAGGGGAUAAAAAGGUGUUCAUGCUGCAGGAGGUUGGGUUGGCAGGGAACUAGAGAGAUUUAAAAGAAGGUGACUGGAGUUUUCUCCGUAUUUGCAAUGAUAGGGAGUUGUGAGAAAGAUGGAGCUCUUUUGGGGUUGGGUCAGCUUACCCCACCAGUAUUGAGUAAGGGUUGAAAAAUGACCGCCUCAGAAACACCAGGGAAUGUUAUCCUCCUCCUUAGCCUGUAACACGCUGUGUAGCAGAGUUUAACCUUCUGUAGUAAAAUCUCAGGGUCCCUGAAGAGCUCUGUUAACCUUGAAAAUCUGUGUAGUAUGUUACUUUCUACCUGCAAAGUAGAAAGCACCACUUAUUUGAAGGCAUGAAUGACACUGAGUCUAGUCCAGAGGCAGACUUGAAAGGACAUCCAUCUGCUGUUCAUGGGAAUUUAACUGAGCAGAAACUUCUGAAAUACCAAAACCAGACAGAAUAGCAGAAUUAUUCCCAAAGCGCUGCCUGCCUUCUAAUUGCUGGCCAUCUCCUUUUGUGAAAAGAAGCAAGAGAAAGAGUUCACACAAGCACGAGUGCUUGCAGACUUCUCUUUGGGGGAAAGCAGUUGUCUUUCUUCUCUUGUUUUUGGAUGUUUAAAAUGAGGAAAGCAACAUAUCAGACUGGAGAGAGAGGAAAACCAGUCAAUGUUACCUUGGUAUCUGAUGAUCAAAGGUAUGACCCCCCUCUGCUGUGCCCUGAGAACGGCAGUAACUGUUUCCUGAGGGAACAGCACUUAGUUCAAAGCAGGAAGUGUCCCUUCCCUCCCUGUGUGGCCACACAGACCAGGAGCUGCCUGCCUGCCUGCCUUGGGAGAGCAGGGUAUUUAGCUUUUCCCAAAAGAAAAAGGGCAGCUUAACCAGUUAUCCUCUGCCAAUAGAAAGAAGCAGGGAGAUGAGACUCAGAGAAUGAUUAUUGCCUGGAUAGUGGCAUGACUGGCACCUAUUUCCUUGCAAAGAACCAGUGGGCUACAGUUAUUAAGUAACAGGAAUUUUUAAAAUUUGUGGUCAGCUUUACCACUGGGCUUCCUUUCAUCAUUUGAAAAGUCUGUGAUUUUGUUCUGACUGCUAUAGUUUAAAUGCAGAAAAUAAUAGAAGCUAAGAGAAAAACUUUGUUCUUUGCAUUCAACUACCAUUUUACUGUGUGCAUUUUAACACUCAAAAUGUACUGGCUGCUGGCUGGCAUUUCUAUCGUGUUGUAGUGCCUGGAUUCCUCUCAUGUUUCUAAUGAGGCACAAAGUAUAGAGAACAUAAAUGACAGGAAAAAGCUACAGUUUUUUUAAUGACCAAAAUCAUAUAUAUUUUAAAGCUCUAGCUUAAGGUUACAGCACAACAAAGCAGGCAAUGUCUCUUUCAUCUGCAGUUUACUUGAAAACUAGGACUGAAUUUCAGUCUCCCCAGGUGACAGAAAACAGCAGAGAGUCCCCAGUACAAAGACCCAGUCAUGCACCAUCCAGCACUGUAGAGUUUAUGUGAGCUAUCUUCCAAGAAUAUGGUGAUACCUUUCUUUGUAGGAGUAAAGCAGACAAGGGAAGGACUGUCAGAGAGCCAAAUGACACAAAAGGAAAUGAAGGAACAAUUAAAAUGAGUCAAUACUGUGAAGCUAUUAGGUGAGGGCAUUACAAUAUCUGAUGUGAGAGAUCUUAGUUGGGACACACGUAACAUUUGCCCCCACCUGACCAGGCAAAGGGUUGCACUGACUUUGCUGUUAGAAAUGAUGAACAGCAUUGGCUCAUCUAAGUUCUUAAUAUACAUCACACCUUUUGUAUGAAUUUUUGCACGGAACUCUGGGGCAACUUUCUGAGAUGACAAUUAUUUUUUGUCACCUGCAAAUUGCACUUUUGUGAGGAGCUAUACCGAGGAAAAAAUAGGUGAGAUGUUGUUGGGGCGAGCUGGAGCACCAAGGCUGCACAGCUGAAAAAUGAGAUUUCUGACAAGGAGAAGUGCAGAGAAAAAAAAAAGAGCCAAGUUCAAUUCCUGGUGAUUCUAACAGAUUGGUGAAAUUGCAGGCUGUCAUUGGGAAAAUCCUGUUUCUCAGACAAAAAUGGGCAGAGGACACUAACAUGAAAAUGCCAGUGUGAGUCGGCCUCUGAAUUAUGUUGUUAGGUUUAAGUAGUCUUUACUUGGAUGUCAGCAAAGGGUUAAGACAGUGUUUUUAGCAAUCUCAUGGUUACUGCUUGCAUUACAGUAACAUAACAGGCAUGUUCAGGACCCAUUACACCAACUGCAGUUUGCACAAGCAGUAUACAUUGUGUAUAUAAUGUGUAAGUAUGCAGAUAUAUUUGGCGAACCCCCCCCCCCGAGAACCAUAAAAUCAGUUUGGAGAGAGGAAUGACAAGAAAGGGAAUCAAAAGAACUGGCUCAUAUUCCAUCUGUAGAGUUGCACUUCAGGGG